rnacentral:rRNA from 1 species
GAUGAACGCUGGCGGCGUGCCUAAUACAUGCAAGUCGAGCGAACGGACGAGAAGCUUGCUUCUCUGAUGUUAGCGGCGGACGGGUGAGUAACACGUGGAUAACCUACCUAUAAGACUGGGAUAACUUCGGGAAACCGGAGCUAAUACCGGAUAAUAUUUUGAACCGCAUGGUUCAAAAGUGAAAGACGGUCUUGCUGUCACUUAUAGAUGGAUCCGCGCUGCAUUAGCUAGUUGGUAAGGUAACGGCUUACCAAGGCAACGAUGCAUAGCCGACCUGAGAGGGUGAUCGGCCACACUGGAACUGAGACACGGUCCAGACUCCUACGGGAGGCAGCAGUAGGGAAUCUUCCGCAAUGGGCGAAAGCCUGACGGAGCAACGCCGCGUGAGUGAUGAAGGUCUUCGGAUCGUAAAACUCUGUUAUUAGGGAAGAACAUAUGUGUAAGUAACUGUGCACAUCUUGACGGUACCUAAUCAGAAAGCCACGGCUAACUACGUGCCAGCAGCCGCGGUAAUACGUAGGUGGCAAGCGUUAUCCGGAAUUAUUGGGCGUAAAGCGCGCGUAGGCGGUUUUUUAAGUCUGAUGUGAAAGCCCACGGCUCAACCGUGGAGGGUCAUUGGAAACUGGAAAACUUGAGUGCAGAAGAGGAAAGUGGAAUUCCAUGUGUAGCGGUGAAAUGCGCAGAGAUAUGGAGGAACACCAGUGGCGAAGGCGACUUUCUGGUCUGUAACUGACGCUGAUGUGCGAAAGCGUGGGGAUCAAACAGGAUUAGAUACCCUGGUAGUCCACGCCGUAAACGAUGAGUGCUAAGUGUUAGGGGGUUUCCGCCCCUUAGUGCUGCAGCUAACGCAUUAAGCACUCCGCCUGGGGAGUACGACCGCAAGGUUGAAACUCAAAGGAAUUGACGGGGACCCGCACAAGCGGUGGAGCAUGUGGUUUAAUUCGAAGCAACGCGAAGAACCUUACCAAAUCUUGACAUCCUUUGACAACUCUAGAGAUAGAGCCUUCCCCUUCGGGGGACAAAGUGACAGGUGGUGCAUGGUUGUCGUCAGCUCGUGUCGUGAGAUGUUGGGUUAAGUCCCGCAACGAGCGCAACCCUUAAGCUUAGUUGCCAUCAUUAAGUUGGGCACUCUAAGUUGACUGCCGGUGACAAACCGGAGGAAGGUGGGGAUGACGUCAAAUCAUUAUGCCCCUUAUGAUUUGGGCUACACACGUGCUACAAUGGACAAUACAAAGGGCAGCGAAACCGCGAGGUCAAGCAAAUCCCAUAAAGUUGUUCUCAGUUCGGAUUGUAGUCUGCAACUCGACUACAUGAAGCUGGAAUCGCUAGUAAUCGUAGAUCAGCAUGCUACGGUGAAUACGUUCCCGGGUCU